rnacentral:sRNA from 1 species
GCCAGGUGUGGUGGCUCACGCCUGUAAUCCCAGCACUUUGGGAGGCUGAGGUGGGAGGAUCACCUGAGGUCAGGGGUUCGAGACCAGCCUGGCCAACAUGGUGAAACCCCAUCUCUA